AGAUGGGGUAACAAUGGCUUUUGAUGUGAGAAAGAGUCUGUUAUUCCAUUUCAAAGGUGCAGGUAAACAGAUCUUGUACAGGGGAUACAGCAGCAAACGCAUAGCGUCUGAACUCGCCCCGGAAAUGGGCAAAUGAUACUCCCCUCGACAGAGGAAAACAACCCAGGCACACAGGUGGCGUGGCAGACUCAGAAUCUCGACAGCAACUUUGAAAAUCACAACACCUGAGAAACCGCCUCUGGGGACACACCCGUUGGCUACAGGUCCAUUGAAGGACAAACUUUCAGAGAGACCACAAAAGUACGAAAAGCAGGAAAACCCAGGAAGAAACUGAGGGAGGUUAUUACAACCAAGACCUUUUCAC